UGAGUCAGAGAUGGAGUAGAGAGUUUGAGAAACACAAGGCAAGCAAAAUCUCUUUAAAAGAAGUUUCACUGUGUGCUCAGAAGCCAUAGAAAAUUUAAAUUUAAAACUACUGGAAGAUGUUGAAAACAGGGGGACAAAAAGAGACCUGAAGGUGUUUCAGUCCACUGGCAAGGAGAGGUUCAUGAAUACGGUGCAACACACAGGAGCUCCAAAUGCCAGCUCAUGUCGCAAAAAUCAUCUUUUCUAAGGGUUUUGGCAUACCUGAAGGCUUUGGUUGAAGGUGGAAGCUUCUUUGGCCCUGGGGAUAGCUUCUGAAAGAUGCAGCAACCUCACAGCAGAAUAAUGUCUUAUCUGUACUGCAGAUUUAAAUACCAGAAGGCUGUGGCAUGUCAGUGUAAUAUUAUGGUGGAGAUACUUGGGGAAUUGCAAGUGCCCCACUUAAUAAUGUGACUCGUUAGUCAACAGAGCCUUUGCUGGUGGGAAUUGUCUGUGUCGGCCUUAAUGGAAAAAGUCUUACUUCUUAUCUAAUGGAAAAGUCUUACUUCUUAUCUAACUAUGGAAAAGAGAGAUAUUGUUUUAUUCAGUGACACCAAUGCCAUCGUCUAAAUGGUGACAGCCGGAGGAUUUCUGGGUGAAAUCUGACCAAUGAUUACCAUGAAAUUCAGUGUUCAAGCAAAAAUGAUUGCCCAUAUUUUAUAGCUAUAACAUACAAGGAUACAGGCUAUAUCUGACUGGUUUAUUUUGACAAAUCAAAAGUUUACCAUUCAGUAUAGUAACAGUGUUGUAAACUCUCAUCAGGAUAAGAGCCUUAGGUAUUGCAGUAUAAAUGUCUACAUAUAAUCUGACUAAUGCAUGUAUUUUGUAAGCAAUUACUAUCGCUUGUCCUUUGACAG